GUACAAACGGACACAUACCGUAUCUGACAAUAAAGCAGAUCAGCACUGUGUGAAGUGUAGUGUCAAGGAGUAAAAGAAGUAUAGACGGUGCAACAGCAAAGCGAAAGUACCGAGGUGCGAGUUCGAUACCGGAAGUGACGGAGUGAGGGCAAGGACAUGUUGCAUGCAGUCUUAUGGACCAGCUUGGGACUGCUUGGAGCCGUGAUCGCCGCAGCUGUAUGCAGCUGCUUUUGUCUCUAUUAUCCGAAACACUGCAUUUCGGAAAAACACAGCAACAUUACCUCAGUAAAAACAGUGGACAGUGGGAGCAAUUAUUCAAGAAACGUUUCUGCCGUCGACCUGGAUGUCCCGUCGCUUAGCAAAGGAGAGAUAAGAACCGUUAAGAAGGGAACCUUCCAAUAACAACUGCUGAAGGACAUUGCACCGCUUCAUGUGCAGUUAAUAAGCGUCUAACUGAAAUAAAUACAAGUUUGAUAUUCUAAUAAAUUGAAGCGUCUUUACACGCAUACAGGGUACAGGGUAAAGUCUUGAUUAAUCUAUCGCUUAAUAAUGCUUCACAUGCCAAUGGUGUUUUGUUUUAUAUUAAAUAGUGGCAUUCUAGUCUGUAUUAUUUUAUUAUUUUU